ACAGCAGCAGCCGCGGUAACACGGAGGGGGCUAGCGUUGUUCGGAAUUACUGGGCGUAAAGCGCACGUAGGCGGCUUGGUAAGUUAGAGGUGAAAGCCUGGAGCUCAACUCCAGAAUUGCCUUUAAGACUGCCGAGCUAGCAGGUGAGAGAGGUAAGUGGAAUUCCGAGUGUAGAGGUGAAAUUCGUAGAUAUUCGGAAGAACACCAGUGGCGAAGGCGGCUUACUGGCUCAUACUGGACGCUGAGGUGCGAAAGCGUGGGGAGCAAACAGGAUUAGAUACCCCCGUAGUCCCUGUCUCUUAUAC
rnacentral:rRNA from 1 species